rnacentral:rRNA from 1 species
AUAAGCGGAGGAAAAGAAACCAACAGGGAUUGCCUCAGUAACGGCGAGUGAAGCGGCAAAAGCUCAAAUUUGAAAUCUAGCACCUUCGGUGUUCGAGUUGUAAUUUGAAGAUGGUAACCUUGGGUUUGGCUCUUGUCUAUGUUCCUUGGAACAGGACGUCAUAGAGGGUGAGAAUCCCGUCUGAUGAGAUGCCCAUUCCUAUGUAAGGUGCUAUCGAAGAGUCGAGUUGUUUGGGAAUGCAGCUCUAAGUGGGUGGUAAAUUCCAUCUAAAGCUAAAUAUUGGCGAGAGACCGAUAGCGAACAAGUACAGUGAUGGAAAGAUGAAAAGAACUUUGAAAAGAGAGUGAAAAAGUACGUGAAAUUGUUGAAAGGGAAGGGCAUUAGAUCAGACUUGGUGUUUUACGAUUAUCUUCUCUUCUUGAGUUGUGCACUCGUAUUUCACUGGGCCAGCAUCGAUUCGGAUGGCAAGAUAAUGGCAGUUGAAUGUGGCUUCACUUCGGUGGAGUGUUAUAGCUUCUGCUGAUAUUGCCUGUCUGGAUCGAGGGCUGCGUCUUUUGACUAGGAUGCUGGCGUAAUGAUCUAAUGCCGCCCGUCUUGAAAC